UACGUAGGGUGCAAGCGUUGUCCGGAAUUAUUGGGCGUAAAGAGCUCGUAGGCGGUCUGUCGCGUCUGCUGUGAAAACUCAGGGCUUAACCCUGAGCUUGCAGUGGGUACGGGCAGACUAGAGUGCGGUAGGGGAGACUGGAAUUCCUGGUGUAGCGGUGAAAUGCGCAGAUAUCAGGAGGAACACCUGUGGCGAAAGCGGCUUACUGGGUCGUC
rnacentral:rRNA from 1 species